rnacentral:rRNA from 1 species
ACAAGCGGUGGAGUAUGUGGUUUAAUUCGAUGCAACGCGAAGAACCUUACCUGGUCUUGACAUCCCGGAGACCCUUAGGAACUAGGGGUGCUUCCAUCUGGAAGAAUCUGGAGACAGGUGCUGCAUGGCUGUCGUCAGCUCGUGUCGUGAGAUGUUGGGUUAAGUCCCGCAACGAGCGCAACCCUUGCCUUUAGUUGCCAGCAGUUCGGCUGGGCACUCUAAAGGGACUGCCGGUGUUAAGCCGGAGGAAGUGGGGAUGACGUCAAGUCCUCAUGGCCUUUAUGACCAGGGCUACACACGUACUACAAUGGCCGAUACAAAGGGCAGCGACACUGCGAGGUGAAGCCAAUCCCGUAAAAUCGGUCUCAGUCCGGAUUGGAGUCUGCAACUCGACUCCAUGAAGUUGGAAUCGCUAGUAAUCGUGGAUCAGCAUGCCACGGUGAAUACGUUCCCGGGCCUU